AUUUUUAUCUCUGAGAUAAGUAAAUUGGUUAAUAAAUAUUAACAUUACAUAAAGGUAAUCAAAAUAAAUAAUCUUCAACGUAAAGCUUGGCUCUGACUUAUGUGUACAACAAAAAUAAGGGAAUACACAUGGUACUUUUUUAGGGGAGGUGAGGACAAAUAGUGUAAAAACUGAAGUGAAAAACUUCAUCUCUUUACAUUUCUACUAGUAUUAUAAAUUGCAUGAUGCUUUGCUAUGUCCCACUAACACCAGUGACUGAUAUUAAGUUAAAAAGUGAAAGCUUGACUUAGGCUAAUUUAGUAGGUCUGGUUAACUUGGUGCCAGCAUCCGCGGUUAUACCAAGAAGACCAAGUUGUACUUUAUAUGGUUAAAAGAUAGUUAGGCACAUAAUUUGUUAUUAAAUUUCUUGUUUAAGGGUGCAAUCUGAAUUCAGGUAAAAGUUCUACAGAUAACAUUAUUUGACGCUGAGGCUAUGAAAAUCUAGAGGGAAACUAGGAUUAGAUACCCUAUUAUUCUUGAUAGUAAACUGACUUAUUAUAUCUACCAGAGUACUACGAAACAUAAUAAAAUUUAAAACUCAAAGGGCUUGGCGGUGCUUUAGACCACUUAGGGGAACCUGUCUCAUAAUCGACAAUCCACGCAACACCUUACCUUAUGCUUGCUUUCAGUAUGUAUACCGUCGUCGGCAGGUAACUUUUAAGAAAUAAGAAGUUAGCAAAAUAAGAUUCAAGAUUGAUUUAUCUAUUACGUCAGAUCAUGGUGCAGCUUAUGCUAAGGAGAGGAUGGGUUACAAUUAAAAUUUAUAAUUACGAAAGAGGUUAGGAAUAUAUCUUUCCUCGGAAGGAGGACUUAAAAGUAAAUGUAAUUAAAUAAAUUCAUUGAAUAAGGCUCUGAAGCGUGCACACAUCGCCCGUCGCUCUCGUUGAAAAAUGAGAUAAGUCGUAACAUAGUAGGAGUAAUGGAAAUUGCUCCUUGCUG
rnacentral:rRNA from 1 species